rnacentral:misc_RNA from 1 species
AAGCGCCAGAAAUUGUAUUGGGGGUAUGUUUUGGCAGUAGCCACUGGCUACAAAUUAUAUUGCAUAGAAGUAGGACUAUAUACACUUACUGAUGGAUUCUUCUUAGUUGUGAUUCUUUGACUUAAGAGGCUCGUAGAACACAUUCAGCAGGAGCUUUCAUAAAUAGACUAGAAAUUUGAUGUGUCACAAGCACUUCGCUUUUUUACAAGGAUACUGUAGGUUUCAUCUCUUCCACUUUGAAAAAACAAGCACUCUUUGGGCUGAAAAAAUAGUACCAGAGACAGCCAUAUUCAGUGUGUGAAAAAUAGUGCAUCACAGUAAUGCAAGAUGUCCUUUAUUCUUUAGGCCAGUCAAGGGGUACAUCUGGCAUUGUGCUAUACAGUGAAGGUUAGUCCUCACCCUUCACAUAGGCCCCACAUGACAUUCCUAUGAUAUAAGCUUGAGAUCUCCAAGUUGGAACUCCAAGCUUUAACCACUGAGUUGUCUCCCGUUAGGGACAUUGAGAAGAUCCUCUCUGUUUUUGUAUGCUUACACAUACACUUUGUGUGCACUGUUUUUUAAUAUGAACAUGCAAGAACAUGGACGUCAUUACAAUACAAAAAUUUUUGUUUCUCACCAGAAGUGGGACACAAAUAGGGAAUUCCUGCAAUAACCUGUUCUAAGGGAUGCUUUGUGGGCCAGAUAUGGAUAUUCAAUUGAAAAGAAGUCCUUUGGGCAUUUUGAGAAUGAGAGUCCACUACCAUUUGGUUUUUAGUAGUUAAUAAUUUGGAAGCAGCUGUUUCUCACUUUCUAAUUUCAUUUUGGAGGAAUUUUCUUGCUUCUAUUAUCAGAUUUAAAGGAUAUUGUUAAACCAUGAAAAGUCCACUUUGCUUUUGUGGUUAUCUGGGAACUUUUCUUUUGAUAGCUUUUUUUUCUUUGUGACUCCAUCUAUGAUAAAUGGCAAAACAAAUUGUGCAAUGCCCUUUGGAAGCCAAGGUUAAUGAUGCUUAAUUUUUCUUGGAUUCUUUAUUUCUUAAUGAGCUUUUU